rnacentral:rRNA from 1 species
CAGUCGAGCGGACCGACGGGAGCUUGCUCCCUUAGGUCAGCGGCGGACGGGUGAGUAACACGUGGGUAACCUGCCUGUAAGACUGGGAUAACUCCGGGAAACCGGGGCUAAUACCGGAUGCUUGAUUGAACCGCAUGGUUCAAUCAUAAAAGGCGGCUUCGGCUGCCGUUUACAGAUGGACCCGCGGCGCAUUAGCUAGUUGGUGAGGUAACGGCUCACCAAGGCGACGAUGCGUAGCCGACCUGAGAGGGUGAUCGGCCACACUGGGACUGAGACACGGCCCAGACUCCUACGGGAGGCAGCAGUAGGGAAUCUUCCGCAAUGGACGAGAGUCUGACGGAGCAACGCCGCGUGAGUGAUGAAGGUUUUCGGAUCGUAAAGCUCUGUUGUUAGGGAAGAACAAGUACCGUUCGAAUAGGGCGGUACCUUGACGGUACCUAACCAGAAAGCCACGGCUAACUACGUGCCAGCAGCCGCGGUAAUACGUAUGUGGCAAGCGUUGUCCGGAAUUAUUGCGCGUAGAGCGCGCGCAGGCGGUUUCUUAAGUCUGAUGUGAAAGC